rnacentral:rRNA from 1 species
UCUAAACACGGACCAAGGAGUCUAACAUGUGUGCGAGUCAUUGGGCGCACUAAACCCAAAGGCGGAAUGAAAGUAAAGGGCCUCCCCCGAGGAGGCCCGAGGGCCGAUCCGCUCGCAGCCUCACCACCGUGGGGAGCGGCGGCGCAGGCUCGGGACUUGCACACCCCACCGUGGGUGGUGAGUACCAAGAGCAGACAUGUUGGGACCCGAAAGAUGGUGAACUAUGCCUGGCCAGGACGAAGCCAGAAGAAAUUCUGGUGGAGGUCCGUAGCGAUUCUGACGUGCAAAUCGAUCGUCGGAGCUGGGUAUAGGGGCGAAAGACUAAUCGAACCAUCUAGUA